AUUGAACGCUGGCGGCAGGCCUAACACAUGCAAGUCGAACGAGUGGCGGACGGGUGAGUAAUGUAUGGGAAACUGCCUGAUGGAGGGGGAUAACUACUGGAAACGGUAGCUAAUCCCGCAUACCAUCGGAUCUGCCCAGAUGGGAUUAGCUAGUGGGUGGGGUACAGGCUCACCUAGGCGAUGAUCCCUAGCUGGUCUUAGAGGAUGACCAGCCACACUGGAACUGAGACACGGGCCAGACUCCUACGGGAGGCAGCAGUGGGGAAUAUUGGACAAUGGGCGCAAGCCUGAUACAGCCAUGCCGCGUGUAUGAAGAAGGCCUUCGGGUUGUAAAGUACUUUCAGCGGGGAGGCGUUACCUGCAGAAGAAGCACCGGCUAACUCCGUGCCAGCAGCCGCGGUAAUAC
rnacentral:rRNA from 1 species